rnacentral:rRNA from 1 species
GACAGAGGGGGGCAAGCGUUGUCCGGAUUUACUGGGCGUAAAGCGCGCGUAGGCGGCUUUGCAAGUCGGGUGUGAAAUCCCCAGGCUUAACCUGGGAACUGCAUUCGAGACUGCAUUGCUAGAGUAUGGGAGAGGGAAGUUGGAAUUUCCGGUGUAGCGGUGAAAUGCGUAGAUAUCGGAAGGAACAUCAGUGGCGAAAGCGACUUCCUGGACCAAUACUGACGCUCAUGUGCGAAAGCGUGGGAGCAA